GGAUGGGUAGGGGAGCGUCGUGUGCCGGGUGAAGCUGCAGCGGAAGCUAGUGGUGGACGGUUCACGAGUGAGAAUGCAGGCAUGAGUAGCGAUACACACGUGAGAAACGUGUGCGCCGAUUGACUAAGGGUUCCUGGGUCAAGCUGAUCUGCCCAGGGUAAGUCGGGACCUAAGGCGAGGCCGACAGGCGUAGUCGAUGGACAACCGGUUGAUAUUCCGGUACCCGCUUUGAAACGCCCAAUAUCGAGCCCAUUAAUGCUAAGGCCGUGAAGCCGCCCUGAUCUCUUCGGAGUUGAGGGGAGUGGUGGAGCCGCUGACCCAAGGUGGUAGUAGGUAAGCGAUGGGGUGACGCAGGAAGGUAGUCCAGCCCGGGCGGUGGUU
rnacentral:rRNA from 1 species